UACGUAGGGUGCGAGCGUUGUCCGGAAUUACUGGGCGUAAAGGGUGCGUAGGCGGUUGUUUAAGUCUGUUGUGAAAUCCCCGGGCUCAACCUGGGAAUGGCAAUGGAUACUGGGCAGCUAGAGUGUGUCAGAGGAUGGUGGAAUUCCCGGUGUAGCGGUGAAAUGCGUAGAGAUCGGGAGGAACAUCAGUGGCGAAAGCGACUUCCUGGACCAAUACUGACGCUCAUGUGCGAAAGCGUGGGGAGCAAACAGG
rnacentral:rRNA from 1 species